rnacentral:rRNA from 1 species
GAUGAACGCUAGCGACAGGCCUAACACAUGCAAGUCGAGGGGCAGCAGGUCUUCGGAUGCUGGCGACCGGCGCACGGGUGCGUAACGCGUAUGCAACUUACCCUAUACAGGGGGAUAGCCCGAGGAAACUCGGAUUAAUACCCCAUAGUUUAUAGAUUUCGCAUGGGAUUUAUAAUAAAAUUACGAUGGUAUAGGGAUGGGCAUGCGUGACAUUAGGUAGUUGGAGAGGUAACGGCUCACCAAGCCGACGAUGUCUAGGGGUCCUGAGAGGGUUACCCCCCACACUGGUACUGAGACACGGACCAGACUCCUACGGGAGGCAGCAGUGAGGAAUAUUGGUCAAUGGAGGCAACUCUGAACCAGCCAUGCCGCGUGCAGGAAGACGGCCCUAUGGGUUGUAAACUGCUUUUAUACAGGGCGAAUUCUGUUACGUGUAACAGGUUGACGGUACUGUAUGAAUAAGCACCGGCUAACUCCGUG